GACGAACGCUGGCGGCGUGCCUAAUACAUGCAAGUAGAACGCUGAAGGAGGAGCUUGCUUCUCUGGAUGAGUUGCGAACGGGUGAGUAACGCGUAGGUAACCUGCCUGGUAGCGGGGGAUAACUAUUGGAAACGAUAGCUAAUACCGCAUAAUAGUAGAUGUUGCAUGACAUUUGCUUAAAAGGUGCAAUUGCAUCACUACCAGAUGGACCUGCGUUGUAUUAGCUAGUUGGUGAGGUAACGGCUCACCAAGGCAACGAUACAUAGCCGACCUGAGAGGGUGAUCGGCCACACUGGGACUGAGACACGGCCCAGACUCCUACGGGAGGCAGCAGUAGGGAAUCUUCGGCAAUGGACGGAAGUCUGACCGAGCAACGCCGCGUGAGUGAAGAAGGUUUUCGGAUCGUAAAGCUCUGUUGUAAGAGAAGAACGAGUGUGAGAGUGGAAAGUUCACACUGUGACGGUAUCUUACCAGAAAGGGACGGCUAACUACGUA
rnacentral:rRNA from 1 species